rnacentral:lncRNA from 1 species
UCUAAACUCCUUUCCGAAGAGAUGUUGUAUAAAGUUGGGUUGAGCCUAGCCAAUCCUCACAGUAAGUCAACUUUAUUAAUGUUUCACUUCAAUUUUCUCCAACUGACUCAUAUUUUUUGAAUAUGAAGCCUGAGGACAUCGAAGCCUUGCAUCACACUACCAAGAGGAAGAAGUCCUCGGUUCGGGGCUCCUACACCUAAACGGGGGCGAGCUAAGGCUGUCCUCGCCUAGCCUGCCAUUGGGGCUUCUCAAAUGCCAGCCCAUGGUUCAACCCCAAUGAAGGAGGCUUCUUCCAGGGCCCAACUCAUCCUGCCUCUCAAGUCGACGGCUUCGAGGGAACCAAUUCCUCCCUCUUCUACAUCUUCAUUGCUCCGAGAUUCGUCAACCCCUCGGAUUUUGGUACACAUCUCCCCACGGCCAACCAACUUUCCUGUUGCGGCUUCUCAAAGGCCCCAAGCUCAGCUUGAGCAAGGGAUUUAGGAUGAAAGAUCGGGCUUUGCAAAUGAUAGCAUUGCCUG